rnacentral:rRNA from 1 species
AUUGAACGCUGGCGGCAUGCCUUACACAUGCAAGUCGAACGGCAGCGCGGGCUUCGGCCUGGCGGCGAGUGGCGAACGGGUGAGUAAUGCAUCGGAACGUGCCCAGUAGUGGGGGAUAGCCCGGCGAAAGCCGGAUUAAUACCGCAUACGACCUGAGGGUGAAAGCGGGGGACCGAAAGGCCUCGCGCUAUUGGAGCGGCCGAUGUCGGAUUAGCUAGUUGGUGGGGUAAAGGCUUACCAAGGCGACGAUCCGUAGCUGGUCUGAGAAGACGACCAGCCACACUGGGACUGAGACACGGCCCAGACUCCUACGGGAGGCAGCAGUGGGGAAUUUUGGACAAUGGGGGCAACCCUGAUCCAGCCAUGCCGCGUGCGGGAAGAAGGCCUUCGGGUUGUAAACCGCUUUUGUUCGGGAAGAAAUCCUCUGGGCUAAUACCCCGGGGGGAUGACGGUACCGGAAGAAUAAGCACCGGCUAACUACGUG